AUCUCGCCAAUGAUUUGUUGGGCUUCGGUUUAAAAAAAAAAUAGAAUGUUAAUGAUGUUGGCCCCAGGAAACCCAUGUGUUUGCUCUUGGCUUCCAGGUCCAGAUCCGAACAGCGUUGGUGAUGGUGCGAAGUGGGAUGAAGCUACGACCAAGGUUCCUUCUAAGGAUCCCAAGAAGAAGGAUGAUAAGAAAGAGGAAGAUCUGGUAAGCACGAUCUCUUCGUAGUGGAGCUUCAUCAAAGCCUUGUCGGCGUUGUGCGGGUCGAUGUAAAUGUGGUUGAUCCGCUGGUGUUGAAGUUUGACGAUCGGCGGAUCAGGCCGUGGACUUCGUAGCCUUUUUCGAGGAGGAACUCCGUCAGGUACGAUCCGUCUUGGCCGGUGAUUCCGGUGACCAGUGCUAUCUUCCUCGACGCAGUCGGCAUUUCCGCGGCGGCGGAAUCGGAUCUGGAUCCGUUGCUUUAUGACGCCAUUAAUUGUUUUUGGAUCUGGGUUUCGCGGUGGCCCAUUAAAAAGGAUAGUGAAGGAGGUCAAAGCUUGAAGACGGAGAGGGUAUUUUGCUCAAUUUAAGCGUUAUCAUGGUCAAAUCAUCGUCGUUGUUUACAUGUCUGAAGAGGACUUGCAACUGAAGCAGAACCUGGAGCUCUAUGUUGAGAGGGUUCAAGACCCUAAUCCUGAACUGCAGAAGGCUGCUCUCGAAAGCAUGAGGCAGGAGAUCCGUGCCUCAACAAGCUCCAUAACGUCUGUUCCAACACCCCUCAAGUUUCUCCGUCCUCACUAUGGAACUCUUAAGGAGUUUCAUAAAAAUAUGGUGGAGUCCGAUCUCAAGAAAUUGCUGGCUGAUAAACUAUGUCUGUCUUGGCACUGACCAUGUCUGCUGAGGGUCAAAGGGAAAGCUUAGGAUACAGGUUGACUGGAUCAGAGGGUGACAUCGGAUCUUGGGGUCACGAGUAUGUCAGGAAUUUGGCCGGUGAGAUUGCAGAAGAGUAUACAGUUCUUCAGAUUGCUACAUGUUAGACCGGAUGCCAAAGGGUUGUGCAGGGGAGCCUCAGUUGUACAAUGUUAAUAUUACUCUUAAAAUCUGGCUUUAUCUUACAGUUUCAAGUUUUUUUUUUUUUGUUUGUGCAGGGAAGCCUCAGUCAGGACUCUAGGGCAAAAUAUUGGAGCCAAAGAUACAGCCUCAAGGAGACUUCCAGAAAAUUUUAGUAAAUAGUUAAUCUAGAUGAAGCUACGGUGAAAGUUACCUCAAGGUGCAGAAGUAAUUCUAGAUAUAGAUGAAGCUACGGUGAAAGAGAUGAGAAAGCAAGAGGAGAUUUCUAAAGCCAAGCUAGCCAUGGAAAGGAAAAAGAAGCUGGCAGAGAAAGCCACUGCUAAAGCUGCCAUAAGAGCUCAAAAGGAAGCUGAGAAGAAAGAACAAAAGGAGCGAGAGAAGGCGGCCAAGAAGAAGACAGGAGGCAGCAACACAUACGAGGCCAUCUCUGAGGAAGUUCCAGAAGCUUCUGAGGCUGAGAAGGAGGAGAUUGAAGCUCCAGUGGAGGAGAAACCAAAGAAGGAAAAUAAAGUCUUGAAGGAGAAACCAAUAAGGAACAGGAUCCACAAUAGAGGAGGACCGGAAACACUCCCGAGACCAAUGCUCAAGCGUAAGAAGCAGACUAACUACAUGGUUUGGGCUGCUCCAGCUGCUGUUGUGGUACUAAUGCUUCUUGACUUGGGUUACUACUACGUUUUCUAGAUCAAGGGAAGCUGCGUUUGCUGUAGUUUGGGUCUUUUUAAAGCUUUCUUUUGAGGAUGAGACUCUUUAAAACGUAUGUCUCAUUUACAUACUGAAAAGAAACUCUUUCCUUUUAAAAUAUUUUUUUACAUUUCACUUAUGUAUAUAUAAAUCCAAAAAUAGAAAAUGGUAGUUAAUUAAAAGGUUACAAUUUUAAAAA